CCUACGGGGAGCAGCAGUGGGGAAUAUUGCACAAUGGGGGAAACCCUGAUGCGGCGACGCCGCGUGAGUGAAGAAGUAUUUCGGUAUGUAACGCUCUAUCAGCAGGGAAGAAAAUGACGGUACCUGAUUAAGAAGCCCCGGCUAACUCCGUGCCAGCAGCCGCGGGAAUACGUAGGGGGCAAGCGUUAUCCGGAUUUACUGGGUGUAAAGGGAGCGUAGACGGCAGCACAAGUCUGGAGUGAAAUGCCGGGGCUUAACCCCGGAACUGCUUUGGAAACGGUGCAGCUAGAGUGCAGGAGAGGUAAGUGGAAUGCCUAGUGGAGCGGUGAAAUGCGUAGAUAUUAGGAGGAACACCAGUGGCGAAGGCGGCUUACUGGACUGUAACUGACGUUGAGGCUCGAAAGCGUGGGGAGCAAACAGGAUUAGAUACCCGUGUAGUC
rnacentral:rRNA from 1 species